rnacentral:rRNA from 1 species
GCUCUAGUGGUAGCAAUUUUAUUGGGCCUAAAGCGUCCGUAGCCGGUUUAAUAAGUCUCUGGUGAAAUCCUGCAGCUUAACUGUGGGAAUUGCUGGAGAUACUAUUAGACUUGAGACCGGGAGAGGUUAGAGGUACUCCCAGGGUAGAGGUGAAAUUCUGUAAUCCUGGGAGGACCGCCUGUUGCGAAAGGCGUCUAACUGGAACGGUUCUGACGGUGAGGGACGAAAGUUAGGGGCGCGAACCGGAUUAGAUACCCGGGUAGUCCUAACUGUAAACGAUGCGGACUUGGUGUUGGGUGGCUUUGAGCUGCUUCAGUGCCGAAGGGAAGCUGUUAAGUCCGCCGCCUGGGAAGUACGGUCGCAAGACUGAACUUAAAGGAAUUGGCGGGGGAGCACCACAACGCGUGGAGCCUGCCGGUUUAAUUGGAUUCAACGCCGGACAUCUCACCAGAGGCGACAGCUGUAUGAUAGCCAGGUUGAUGACUUUGCUUGACUAGCUGAGAGGAGGUGCAUGG